AGGAGUCGCCCGCUGCCCAAAGGGUUUUAGCGGACGCCGCCCGCCCCCAACCAGGACCGGCGUCGGCACCCCCAGGCUGGGCGCAGUCUCCGGGGUUCCUUCCGGUUCACACCCUCUGUUACUCCGUGAUCCUCUGGGCUCCAGAGCGAGGAACCCUGGGCCUUUGUACACGUGUCUGUGCGCCUGCUGGUGCGGGGGGGGGUGGGGGGAGAUUGUCUCUUUUGAAUUUCCAUAGCAACUGCUCCCGUGUCACCCUAUUGCUCCCAAAGGUUUAAGCAGUUGCGUGUGCAAAUUUACAUAUAUCUGCAUGUCAUUAACAUAGAGGCGGAGCCGGAACUUGUUUGGGCAACUAUCCCUGGACAGUUCCCCUCGCUUUGCUUUCAUCCCGUCCGAUGGCCACCUGGACUGCGCAUGCAAACAUCCCAACCGAAGACUCAGUUCCCUAAGCAACACCGAGAGUUGUUGGACCCCAGUCCUGCCUUUCCUGGCUGUGUCAUCUUAGCUCCAGAGAUGACAGGAAGAACUUCCAUAUGUCAGGGCAGGCUGGAUUCCAGGCAUGGGAUGAGAAAUACUGGCCAAGCCAGGGGGAAGAGCCACCUCCCAAAGCCAGGACUGACUUGCAGAGACCACAGUCGCCUGCUGCUCCCCUGCUGACCACCAUCCAAUGGAAGUCUACAGAAAGUGAUGGCUGGGUGAAAUAGAUCUGAGGACCCCACAGAUCCCCUGCCAAACGUCUCCCUGUCGGACCCUCCCACCCAGUCCUGCCAGCCUGCUCUUUCUUUGACUCCACUUCGUCUCUGGUUUUCAUUCAUUUGUUCAUCCAUUCAUUUGUUUGUCUUCUCAUUUAUUCAGCCAAUAAAGACAUUA